rnacentral:rRNA from 1 species
GGGCCCGCACAAGCGGUGGAGCAUGUGGUUUAAUUCGAUGAUACGCGAGGAACCUUACCAGGGCUUAAAUGUAAGUUGCAUUAGUUAGAGAUAGCUAUUUCUUCGGACCACUUACAAGGUGCUGCAUGGUUGUCGUCAGCUCGUGCCGUGAGGUGUCAGGUUAAGUCCUAUAACGAGCGCAACCCCUGUUGUUAGUUGCCAGCGAGUCAUGUCGGGAACUCUAACAAGACUGCCGGUGCAAACCGUGAGGAAGGUGGGGAUGACGUCAAAUCAUCACGGCCCUUACGUCCUGGCUACACACGUGCUACAAUGCUACGGACAAAGGGCAGCAAGUUCGCGAGGACAAG